CCUGGCUCAGGAUGAACGCUAGCUACAGGCUUAACACAUGCAAGUCGAGGGGCAGCAUGGUCUUAGCUUGCUAAGGCCGAUGGCGACCGGCGCACGGGUGAGUAACACGUAUCCAACCUGCCGUCUACUCUUGGACAGCCUUCUGAAAGGAAGAUUAAUACAAGAUGGCAUCAUGAGUCCGCAUGUUCACAUGAUUAAAGGUAUUCCGGUAGACGAUGGGGAUGCGUUCCAUUAGAUAGUAGGCGGGGUAACGGCCCACCUAGUCUUCGAUGGAUAGGGGUUCUGAGAGGAAGGUCCCCCACAUUGGAACUGAGACACGGUCCAAACUCCUACGGGAGGCAGCAGUGAGGAAUAUUGGUCAAUGGGCGAGAGCCUGAACCAGCCAAGUAGCGUGAAGGAUGACUGCCCUAUGGGUUGUAAACUUCUUUUAUAAAGGAAUAAAGUCGGGUAUGGAUACCCGUUUGCAUGUACUUUAUGAAUAAGGAUCGGCUAACUCCGUGCCAGCAGCCGCGGUAAUACGGAGGAUCCGAGCGUUAUCCGGAUUUAUUGGGUUUAAAGGGAGCGUAGAUGGAUGUUUAAGUCAGUUGUGAAAGUUUGCGGCUCAACCGUAAAAUUGCAGUUGAUACUGGAUAUCUUGAGUGCAGUUGAGGCAGGCGGAAUUCGUGGUGUAGCGGUGAAAUGCUUAGAUAUCACGAAGAACUCCGAUUGCGAAGGCAGCCUGCUAAGCUGCAACUGACAUUGAGGCUCGAAAGUGUGGGUAUCAAACAGGAUUAGAUACCCUGGUAGUCCACACGGUAAACGAUGAAUACUCGCUGUUUGCGAUAUACAGCAAGCGGCCAAGCGAAAGCGUUAAGUAUUCCACCUGGGGAGUACGCCGGCAACGGUGAAACUCAAAGGAAUUGACGGGGGCCCGCACAAGCGGAGGAACAUGUGGUUUAAUUCGAUGAUACGCGAGGAACCUUACCCGGGCUUAAAUUGCAGAUGAAUUACGGUGAAAGCCGUAAGCCGCAAGGCAUCUGUGAAGGUGCUGCAUGGUUGUCGUCAGCUCGUGCCGUGAGGUGUCGGCUUAAGUGCCAUAACGAGCGCAACCCUUGUUGUCAGUUACUAACAGGUUCCGCUGAGGACUCUGACAAGACUGCCAUCGUAAGAUGUGAGGAAGGUGGGGAUGACGUCAAAUCAGCACGGCCCUUACGUCCGGGGCUACACACGUGUUACAAUGGGGGGUACAGAGGGCCGCUACCACGCGAGUGGAUGCCAAUCCCCAAAACCUCUCUCAGUUCGGACUGGAGUCUGCAACCCGACUCCACGAAGCUGGAUUCGCUAGUAAUCGCGCAUCAGCCACGGCGCGGUGAAUACGUUCCCGGGCCUUGCACACACCGCCC
rnacentral:rRNA from 1 species